UACAGAGGUGGCAAGCGUUGUUCGGAAUUACUGGGCGUAAAGGGCGCGUAGGCGGUCAUGUAAGUCCCGUGUGAAAUCCCUCGGCUUAACUGAGGAACUGCACGGGAUACUGCGUGACUUGAGUUCGGGAGAGGGAAGCGGAAUUCCGGGUGUAGCGGUGAAAUGCGUAGAUAUCCGGAGGAACACCGGUGGCGAAGGCGGCUUCCUGGACCGACACUGACGCUGAGGCGCGAAAGCUAGGGGAG
rnacentral:rRNA from 1 species